UGCUGUCGUAGCUCAGAAAGGUUAGAGCGUCCGGCUGAUAACCGGGAGGCCAGUGGUUCAAGUCCACUCGACAGCAUC
rnacentral:tRNA from 1 species